rnacentral:lncRNA from 1 species
GAAGGAUGGAGGGUGUGGGUGACAGCAGCACUCAGGCCACCGCCUGGCAGAGGCAGCUAGCAAAGGGGAGGUCAUGAAAGCCGUGUGUGUGUGGGUGGAGGGGGGCUGAGGAAGGAGGGCCCCUCCAUCUCCUGGUCUUUUCCAUCCAUCAUUUGAGGGCGUAGACACCAGGAGUUGGCUCAUACCUGAUACCAUCCCAUGUUUACACGAAGGGAUAGGUCUCAAACUGUGGAGCCUGGACUGACCUCUCACCAUUGCCUGGAAACGUGUUAGCAAUGCAGAAUCCCAGGCCCUACCCAGACCCACGGAAUCAGAAACUAUGGGGCGAGGAACAACGGGUGUUGCACCAAGCCAUUCAGGUGAUUCUGAUGCCCCCGAAGGUUUGAGAACUGCCGCUGUAAUUAUGUUGAACUGAACUUCAACUGUAAUUAUGUUGAACUGAACUUCAACUGAGUGGCCCUGCACAGACCGUGGAUAUAGAAGAAGGCUGCUGUAACACCAGGUCUUGGGGUGAAUCUUCAUGUGAUCUUCGGAACAAGGAUACUUGGCUUGGAUCCCAGCCCAGACACCCUGCACCUAUAGGAUGGGGACCUUGGCCCUGACCUCAGGAUGGACAUCAACUGGGAGUGGCCCAGAAGCCCGAAGCUGAGAGGACAAAGCUCACUGGGUCCUCCACAAUCUCUACUUUACCAAAAUCCAUGCGGGUGCAUCAUAAAGAGAGAUGCUUGAUGACCAAGUUGUUCUGGACAAAUCAAGCACAGGAAAAGAGAGUGGAGGGGCUGCUGCCCCAGGAAGGCUGGGCCCACCCCUCCUCACAGGCACCCUGAUGCCUGUUCAGCUUGGCUCUCUGGAUGACAGGCAGAAGCCCCAGUUGCUUCUCUUCUCCACGGUGAUUUCUGCAUACUUUAUCCAAACCCCCUCCCCACCGCUGUUCAGUUUCUGGCUCCUCUUCCUGCCCGUGCUCUGAGGCCAGCUGGGGGCCUCCCAGGUGACUCCUGCUGCUGCUGUCACUGGACCCUGACGCUGUGCCGCACCCGAAUUCCUCCGAAUGGAGCCUUGGCCAGAGCAAGGCGUGCCGUGUAGAGGAGCGGAUCUGAGCCUGGCAGGAGAUCGCUAAAACCUUUGCCCUUCACACAAACGCGGAAGCACGGGGCGGGUGCUGAAGAGCCAAGCAAGUGUCCCCCAUUUCCUUCCAAGGCAGAGCAGCAGCCCAGGGAGGCCCAGUUUCCAUCGCGGCAGAAGGGCAGAAGAGUGGGGGAGGUCCCAGGACCACAGCCCAGGGGACACUCAGGAUGCGCCAGGAAGGACAUGGCAGACAGGCCCUUUAGGUGGAAAAGCAACCCUCAGCUGCCCAGAGAGCGGCCCCUCCAGGCCCUCCCCGCCGUCUGCAAAGCUCUUCAGCUGGGAGAGGAGGAAAGGGUUUGUUCUUGACCUCCUUCCUUUCCUUUCUUCUCCACUGUCCACCAGAGAGCAGGAAGACAGGCUGAUGCUCUUGUUAAAGAUGAAGGCAUAAUUCACAUGCCAUAAAAUUCACCAUUUUAACCAUUUUAAGGUGCACAGUUCAGUGGUUUUGAGUGCAUUACAUUGUUGGGCAACCAUCAGCAUGGUCUAAUUCCAAAACAUUUCUGUCACUCCAAAAAGAAAUCUUGUACCCAUUAGCAGUCACUCCCCAUUUCCCCCUACCCCCCAGCCCCCCGGCACCCACGAAGGUGCUUUCUCUGUUUCGAGGGAUCUUCCUAUUGUGGCAAAUCCUCUGAAUGGAAUCAUACAAUAUGUGGUCUUCUGCCACUGGCUUCUUUCACUGACCAUAAUUUUUCAAGGUUCACCCACGUUGUAGCAUGCGUCAGCGCUUCAUUCCUUUCCAUGGCUGGACUGUAUUUCAUUGUAUGUCUGGACCACAUUCUGUUUCUCUAGUCAUCAGUUGAUUACUUACUUUUCAGGGCCCACUUAGCCUUUCUUCCCAAGGGCAGGGGCUCUGUUGUCCACUGUUUUGGAGUCUUCCAGCAGACUUGAUGGAGUGUACCAGUGGUUUCCUUGCUGGGCAAAUAACCAGAGGGUCCCUGGGUACGGGAAUCUCUGAGUCCUGAUCUUUGGCUCUGCUGCAGACCAGGUCACUGUAUGAUCUUUUAGCAGCCUCUUUACCUCACCUGGCCUCAGUUUCUUCAUCUGAAAAAUGAAGGGCUUGAAGCAGAUGGUCUCUAACACUUCUCCUGGCCCAACACUUUAAGAUGUUUCAGCAAAGCAGUGAAGAAGCAGCCUUCUGUGACCUUUCUGAACAAGGCAGAGGAAAGCAAGCUGUAGGCUGACAUAGUUAGGUGAUUCCAUAACAAAAUUGCGCUGUAAACAAUCAUCUGGAUCAAUCGACAGAAGGCACUUGCAACAGGUUCCCAGAUGACAGAAAACUAUAGGAAUGACAGGGAAGGAAUGAUGGGGCAGAUUAAAAUGGAGAAAUUUAACAGGGACAAAUGUAAAAGUCGGACAUUUUGCUCCAAAGUUCAACAGAACAGCUACCUGCUUUGUUGGAUAUGUUCAGGCAGUGUCCUUUAUAAGAGUUUGAUUGACUCUAAAUGAAUCUCAUUAUGAGUCACCAUUGGGACAGGCUGCCAAAAGGCCAAUGUGACUUCAGAUUAAAUCAAUAGAGGUCUACUGGCUGAAACAAGGGAGGUGACAUUAUUGAGUCCAUCCCUGGUGUAUGUAGCUGCUACCCUCUGAGAAGGAGGCCCCCAAUAGGAAAAGCCAGAGGGAGGAUGGAUAAGACAUGAAGAGCUCUAGAACCAUGGUUUGGUAGUAGGAGGGGCUCAGGGUUUGGGUCUUUAAAAGAUAAGACAGAGAGUGCUGUUCACAUCUGUGAAGGAACAUGGCAUGAGAAGGGGAGUUGACUUCCACCAUGGGGACCUGCAGGGUGACUGGGGCUGGAAGAUGAUCAAUUGUGACCCAGGACCAGGAAGAACUUCGCAGCAACAAAAGUCACAGGAAAUGGAAAAAACUCCUGGUGAAGAACACAG